rnacentral:rRNA from 1 species
UACGAAGGGGGCUAGCGUUGCUCGGAAUUACUGGGCGUAAAGCGCACGUAGGCGGCCAUAAUAGUCAGAUGUGAAAGGCCUGGGCUCAACCCGGGAAUUGCAUUUGAUACUGUAUGGCUAGAGUCCAAGAGAGGGUAGUGGAAUUCCCAGUGUAGAGGUGAAAUUCGUAGAUAUUGGGAAGAACACCAGUGGCGAAGGCGGCUACCUGGCUUGGAACUGACGCUCAGGUGCGAAAGCGUGGGGAGCGAACAGG